UGGGGAAUUUUGGACAAUGGGGGAAACCCUGAUCCAGCCAUCUCGCGUGUGCGAUGAAGGCCCUCGGGUUGUAAAGCACUUUUGGCAGGAAAGAAACGUCAUGGGUUAAUACCCCGUGAAACUGACGGUACCUGCAGAAUAAGCACCGGCUAACUACGUGCCAGCAGCCGCGGUAAUACGUAGGGUGCAAGCGUUAAUCGGAAUUACUGGGCGUAAAGCGUGCGCAGGCGGUUCGGAAAGAAAGAUGUGAAAUCCCAGAGCUCAACUUUGAAGCUGCAUUUUUAACUACCGGGCUAGAGUGUGUCAGAGGGAGGUGGAAUUCCGCGUGUAGCAGUGAAAUGCGUAGAUAUGCGGAGGAACACCGAUGGCGAAGGCAGCCUCCUGGGAUAACACUGACGCUCAUGCACGAAAGCGUGGGGAGCAAACAGG
rnacentral:rRNA from 1 species